rnacentral:rRNA from 1 species
AACGAACGCUGGCGGCAUGCCUAACACAUGCAAGUCGAACGGGAUCCGGACUUCGGUUCGGUGAGAGUGGCGGACGGGUGAGUAACGCGUGGGAACCUGCCCAGUGGUGGGGGAUAACUGCGGGAAACUGCAGCUAAUACCGCAUGAGCCCGAGAGGGGAAAGAUUUAUCGCCAUUGGAGGGGCCCGCGUUCGAUUAGGUAGUUGGUGGGGUAAUGGCCUACCAAGCCGACGAUCGAUAGCUGGUCUGAGAGGAUGAUCAGCCACACUGGGACUGAGAUACGGCCCAGACUCCUACGGGAGGCAGCAGUGGGGAAUAUUGGACAAUGGGGGCAACCCUGAUCCAGCAAUGCCGCGUGAGUGAUGAAGGCCUUCGGGUUGUAAAGCUCUUUUGCCAGGGACGAUGAUGACGGUACCUGGAGAAUAAGCCCCGGCUAACUUCGUGCCAGCAGCCGCAGUAAAAC